GAUGAACGCUGGCGGCGUGCCUAAUACAUGCAAGUCGAGCGAACGGACGAGAAGCUUGCUUAUCUGAUGUUAGCGGCGGACGGGUGAGUAACACGUGGAUAACCUACCUAUAAGACUGGGAUAACUUCGGGAAACCGGAGCUAAUACCGGAUAAUAUUUUGAACCGCAUGGUUCAAAAGUGAAAGACGGUCUUGCUGUCACUUAUAGAUGGAUCCGCGCUGCAUUAGCUAGUUGGUAAGGUAACGGCUUACCAAGGCAACGAUGCAUAGCCGACCUGAGAGGGUGAUCGGCCACACUGGAACUGAGACACGGUCCAGACUCCUACGGGAGGCAGCAGUAGGGAAUCUUCCGCAAUGGGCGAAAGCCUGACGGAGCAACGCCGCGUGAGUGAUGAAGGUCUUCGGAUCGUAAAACUCUGUUAUUAGGGAGGAACAUAUGUGUAAGUAACUGUGCACAUCUUGACGGUACCUAAUCAGAAAGCCACGGCUAACUACGUG
rnacentral:rRNA from 1 species